AACGAACGCUGGCGGCAUGCCUAACACAUGCAAGUCGAACGAGACCUUCGGGUCUAGUGGCGCACGGGUGCGUAACGCGUGGGAACCUGCCCUUAGGUUCGGAAUAACUCCCCGAAAGGGGUGCUGAUACCGGAUAAUGUCUUCGGACCAAAGAUUUAUCGCCUUUGGAUGGGCCCGCGUUGGAUUAGCUAGUUGGUAGGGUAAAAGCCUACCAAGGCGACGAUCCAUAGCUGGUCUGAGAGGAUGAUCAGCCACACUGGGACUGAGACACGGCCCAGACUCCUACGGGAGGCAGCAGUGGGGAAUAUUGGACAAUGGGCGAAAGCCUGAUCCAGCAAUGCCGCGUGAGUGAUGAAGGCCUUAGGGUUGUAAAGCUCUUUUACCCGGGAUGAUAAUGACUGUACCGGGAGAAUAAGCUCCGGCUAACUCCGUG
rnacentral:rRNA from 1 species